rnacentral:lncRNA from 1 species
AUUUAUUCUACCACAGAAGCAGAAAGAGCACGCCCAUUUUGCUUCACAACAAUUACUGGUAAGUGACCGGAAAGCAAAUCACAAGCCAUAUAGAUGUCCUUUAAAAUACAUCAAGUUGUGUAAAUGUGAAAUAGUCCAACUUGUAACUUUACGUUUUUAUUUUUUAGUUUUUGAUGAUAAAUAAGACAAGGAGAAUUUAUUUCUAAAACUCUUUGAUUAUAUAUUUCCUUCUUCUGUCUUGUGUGUUGAAUUCAUAUAAAUCAUGUUAAGUUUUAAGUACCUUUCUAUUUUUGCUCAUUAAUACAUAAUAAAAAAAACACUAUUAUUAUAAAAUUCCAAAAAAAAAACAACAACUAUCAAUAGAUAAAAAAAAAAAAACAGCCCAUUUAUGAGCCAUUUAAAACAUAAUAAUAUUGAGAAAAUGAAAAUUAACCUCCUUUUAUCACACAUGCACAUACAAAUAUACAGAAUACACAAGGCAGGGAUCAAAAAAGUUUUAAUUCAUAAGAUAUAUAUCACAAAGAUGACUUGUAAACUUUUCAAACAUGUAGUAUACUUGUCAGUUUCAGAUAUAUUUAUUAAAGGAAACAGAAAAAAAUAGGCUAGCUUACAGGCAAACAAUGACCAAACUAUCUUUUACUCUUACACGAAAAUACAUUUCUCAGCUACCAGAAAUAAAUAGUAAAUAAGUAAACAUCUCCAGAACUCAAUAUAAAGUGCCAAGCCGUUUUUAUUUUAUUAUUAUUUAUAACAGAUGUAAAACACAACAUGCCAUGUUAAUGUUUUCUCAAGAACGGGAAAUGGGUGUGUCUCGUUUUCAUUUUUUUUUUUUACCAAUACAAUGAUAAAUGCAUGCCAUCUGUUAUUGGCUGCACACUGUCAGUCUAAAUGUGUUUCUUGUGUCCUUCAUUCGCAGUUCAGGAUAAAUAUGUGUACAACUUAAUACAUUAGCCACAACCAGCAAACAAAAAUAUGUCAUAGUUGCUUCUAAGUUAAAAAUAACAUAAGGCAUUGUAAAGUCAACUUGUAAAACAUAAAAGGCAAUAUCUACUGUCUUAAUAAUGUAACAACAUGAUAGUGGUACGUGACUUUAUUUGGGUUGCUUAUUUUAUAGGGAAUUUUGCAUGGUGAUUGGCAUUUCUGGACACUUUUGUGUCUAUUCCAGAGGUAAUUACUAAAUAAUGUCUAGUAAAUUAGUGUUGCAGAUAAAUAACAUACAAGAUCCAGUGCACUCACUCAUUCACUAUACAGCAAAUUCAAAGCUCAUAGAAUGUAAUAGUUUUGUUUUUUUAACCUAAGCUAAAAUAAUGGGGGUUUAGUUACAGUAUAUAAUCAUACAUUGCAUAAGACUAUAUAUAGAGAUAUAAUCCAAAAGGGGAUCACUCUAAAGCAAUGUAUGUUUUAGAGGCAAGUCAUUUUUAUUUACAUAAUUGUGUGAACAAUUUAGUCCUCUCCUCCUCCUUUCAUUAGUAAAAGUCCCUGCGUGGACCGAAACACUGAUGCCAUUUAGGAUUAUGUAAAUAAAAAGUACUUACCUCUGGAGCAUAAAUCCAGCUAAAUGCGCUUCUCUUGAAUUAUAUAUUUUGGUUGUUUUCUAAAAUCAAUUGUUGUUAAAUCAUUUGACUCGUUGAGUGCACAAAAUCGUGGUACGCUUCUUCCCUAUAAAAGCUUUGAUUUCAAAUCUAAUAUCAUGGAUUUGUAUUAUAUAUAUAGAGAGAGAGAGACAGACAGACAGGCAGACACAAAAAAAACAAAAUUCAGAGUAGGAUUUGACAGGUAAAUAGCUUUGUUACUAGUUAAUUUUUUGUUGCAGCUGCAUUAUAUAACGAGAUUCAUCAUGGGUAAUUUCAUGAAGGAACCAGUAAAAAUAAAUUAAAAAAUAAAUAAAUUAUAUAGCGUGAUAUGUUUGAAAGAUUUUUACAUCUGGUAUUGAAAAAUGAUCCUAAAAGUGAUAAUAUUUCAACAGGAUGGGGCAACUGCCCAUGCAGCCAAAGCCACAAUGGAUCUUGAGAUAACUGUGGUUAAUUCAAGAAAUUCCCAGAUCAACUGGCUGCCCUGUUUGACCAACCUUUCAGCUCUGGAUUAUUUCCCGUGGGGAUACCUGAAGGAGUGGAUGUAUGUGAACAAACCGCGUACACUUGAGCAGCUCAAGGAGAAUAUCCGUACGGAAAUUCGAGUGCUAGAGCCUCAAAUAUUAACUAACAAUUAUGAACAAUGCAAUCGAAAGAGCCCAACUUUGCAAGGUGGCAAAUGGAUGUAAUUUAAAAGAUGUCAUCUUCCGUACAUAGCCAAACAAAUCUCCAUACGUUAAGUAUUCAUUGUAUGCAAUAUCAUUGACAUUGAAUCAUUAAUAAACAAAGUUACUGAGUCAUAAAACACUACUCUGAAUACUACGUAUGUAUGUAUGUAUGUAUGUAUCUCUUCAGACAGAUAUGAUUUAUCUAUAAAUUGUACUAAACAAACUGAUAGAAAAAAAAAAUAGAAGUAAACAACACAAACACUUACCCACACCUGUAAACGAACACUAUAGAGUUAGGAAUACUAAUGUGUAUAAUGUCUUAGUCACCGAGACCAUCAACACCCAUAAAGAGCAACAUUAAAAUUUACUCACAUUUUCUCCCACACUGUGACUGCUCUCUGCAGCUGACCCCGCCUCUAUGGCUGAGAUCAUCAGUGUUAAUGAUCUCAGCUAAUACAAUGCUUUCCCAUAGCAAACCAUUGGGAGGUCAGUGCACAAAUGUGGCAAGACAUCUCUAUGAGACCAUCUGAUUGAAAUAGAGAAUUGAAUUUUACUCAGAUAUAUCAUUGGAAAUGCCUCUAGUGACUAUCAGAGUGACAGCCACCAGAGGAAUUUAAAACCUGCAAUUUAAAUAUUGUUAUUCCUGCAGAACAACAAUAUUUUACACUGCAUUGAUAAAAGAAAGGGGGCAUGGUAGUCAGACCAUUUUCUUAAGUUGUCCAGAUGCCCCUAUUGUUCUUCUAACAUGCUAGGAAUUUUGGCAUGCUAUGUGUAUCGUUUAGGCAUGGAGUAGCUUCACUUGCAGAUGCUCCAUCAAUUCCCUAUGACAAAGCAAGGAGGACCCAAUCGUGAUGUAUCCCCUAAACCUUUACAUUUGCAAAUAACUGAAGGGACUUAACUUUUGAUUUAAAAAACAAUGUUGGUGUAGAUCAUGCUCUUGUAUUCUUACUUCUCAAUUAUCUGCCAUUUAGGAGUUGAAUCACAUUAUUUAUAUAUCCCCAAUCACAUAUUUAGGCUCCUUUAUUGCACAGUCUGUUUAAUCUAGAAUUUCCAAUCUCCUGCUCUGUUAAUAGAGCCUAGACCCUGCAGGAGUCUCCCGUGUGUGAUUAAAAUUCAAUUUAUAGAGCAGGAGAUACAAACUUAUAAAGCAAGUUAACAUCUGAUUGUAAAUUAACCCCUUAAGGACUGAGCCAAAUGUACACGUUGUGAACAAAACAAAACGUAAACAAAACCUGGCAUUUGUGCUACAUGUCUGUCCAACCGUAAUUCACCUCUUUCAUAUUAAAUGCACACACCCUUAUUAUAUAUCAUUUUAUUCAGGGGCAACGGGGCUUUCAUUUAAUAUCAAAUAUUUAGCUAUGAAACAUAAUUUAAUAUGAAAAAAAAGAAAAUAAGAAAUGUUAUUUUUUUAGUUCUACAUGACAUUUUAACUGUCAAUGGCAUAAUACUGUUUGCUUUUGCUGCAAUAAAAUACACAUAUUUGUAUUCAGCAAAGCCUCACGUGUAAAACAGUACCCCCUAUGUACAGGUAUUAUAGUGUUUUGGGAAGUUACAGGGUCAAAUAUAGCACGUUACAUUUGAAAUUAAAAUUCGCCAGAUUGGUUACGUUGCCUUUGAGACCCUAUAGUAGCCCAAGAAUGAAAAUCACCCCUAUGAUGACAUACCAUUUGCAAUAGUAGACAACCCAAGGUACUGCAAAUGGGGUAUGCCCAGUCUUUUUUAGUAGCCACUUAGUGACAAACACUGGAAAGUUAUAGGGUUAAAUAUAGUGCUAGCAAAUUAAAUUCCCUAUACUUUCGGGAUGGGUUGUCAGGCAGGUCCCGCUAAUUGUAAUUGAUUAAAAUACCUAAUUAUGUAAAAAUAUUACAUAAAUAUAUAUGUAGAAUUAAUAUAUGUAUAUAUAUACACAUGUGUA